rnacentral:rRNA from 1 species
GACGAACGCUGGCGGCGCGCCUAACACAUGCAAGUCGAACGAGCGAGAGAGAGCUUGCUUUCUUGAGCGAGUGGCGAACGGGUGAGUAACGCGUGAGGAACCUGCCUCAAAGAGGGGGACAACAGUUGGAAACGACUGCUAAUACCGCAUAAGCCCACGACCCGGCAUCGGGUUGAGGGGAAAGGAGCAAUCCGCUUUGAGAUGGCCUCGCGUCCGAUUAGCUAGUUGGUGAGGUAACGGCCCACCAAGGCGACGAUCGGUAGCCGGACUGAGAGGUUGAACGGCCACAUUGGGACUGAGACACGGCCCAGACUCCUACGGGAGGCAGCAGUGGGGAAUAUUGCACAAUGGGGGAAACCCUGAUGCAGCGACGCCGCGUGGAGGAAGAAGGUCUUCGGAUUGUAAACUCCUGUUGUGGAGGAAGAUAAUGACGGUACUCAACAAGGAAGUGACGGCUAACUACGUG